UACGGAGGGGACUAGCGUUGUUCGGAAUUACUGGGCGUAAAGCGCACGUAGGCGGAUUUGUAAGUCAGGGGUGAAAUCCCGGGGCUCAACCUCGGGACUGCCUUUGAUACUGCAAAUCUCGAGUCCGGAAGAGGUGGAGUGGAAUUCCUAGUGUAGAGGUGAAAUUCGUAGAUAUUAGGAAGAACACCAGUGGCGAAGGCGGCUCACUGGCCCGAUACUGACGCUGAGGCACGAAAGCGUGGGGAGCAAACAGGG
rnacentral:rRNA from 1 species